ensembl:snRNA U7 U7 small nuclear RNA
UAGUGUUACAGCUUUUUUAGAAUUUGUCUGGCAAGCUUUCCAGAUUUUGCUGGCAAGACCAA